CCUAGGGGAGGCAGCAGUGGGGAAUAUUGGGCAAUGGGCGCAAGCCUGACCCAGCAACGCCGCGUGAAGGAAGAAGGCGUUCGGGUUGUAAACUUCUUUUCGCAGGGACGAAGCAAGUGACGGUACCUGAGGAAUAAGCCACGGCUAACUACGGGCCAGCAGCCGCGGUAAUACGUAGGUGGCAAGCGUUAUCCGGAUUUACUGGGUGUAAAGGGCGUGUAGGCGGGGACGCAAGUCAGAUGGGAAAACCAUGGGCUCAACCUGUGGCCUGCAUUGGAAACUGUGUUUCUUGAGUACUGGAGAGGCCGCCGGAAUUCCUCGUGUAGCGGUGUAAUGCGUAGAUAUUAGGAG
rnacentral:rRNA from 1 species